rnacentral:rRNA from 1 species
UACGUAGGGUGCGAGCGUUGUCCGGAAUUAUUGGGCGUAAAGAGCUCGUAGGCGGUGUGUCACGUCGGCCGUGAAAACCUGCAGCUUAACUGUGGGCGUGCGGUCGAUACGGGCAAACUAGAGUACUGCAGGGGAGACUGGAAUUCCUGGUGUAGCGGUGAAAUGCGCAGAUAUCAGGAGGAACACCGGUGGCGAAGGCGGGUCUCUGGGCAGUAACUGACGCUGAGGAGCGAAAGCGUGGGGAGCGAACAGG